UACGGAGGAUCCAAGCGUUAUCCGGAUUUAUUAGGUUUAAAGGGUUCGUAGGCGGGAUAUUAAGUCAGUGGUGAAAUUUUGCGGCUCAACCGUAAAACUGCCAUUGAUACUGGUAUUCUUGAGUAUAGUUGAGGUAGGCGGAAUGUAUCAUGUAGCGGUGAAAUGCAUAGAUAUGAUACAGAACACCGAUUGCGAAGGCAGCUUACUAAACUAUCACUGACGCUGAGGAACGAAAGCGUGGGGAGCAAACAGG
rnacentral:rRNA from 1 species